rnacentral:lncRNA from 1 species
AAAACUCCCCAUAUUACUGUGUUAAAAACAAAAAAACCUAGAAAAUAAGGUAAAUUUCAGUUAUGUCACUUAAUUAGAGAAUUCUCUGUUAUUAAGAUUAACAUCAAAAUAUAGUUUUCCAUUCCAAUCUUACAUCCUCUAGACUGGAGAGGCGAUUUGCAUUCCAGACGUCAGGGAAAACAAGACUUUUAGUGUGAGCUCAGGCUGCAGUUAUGUUUUCAUUCACACAUACAACAAAAAUUACGGAGAACCUAGUGAGAACCAGGCACCAUCCUCUUGAAUUCCCUCACACGCUGGAGUCAUUGCUCUGUGAACACUGCCUCUCACUCCUCAAAUCUCCUAAACUCUUCUCUUUCCCUGGCACUCAGCCUAGGAGAGAGUAGAUUACUUCAAAAAACUCUUAUGACUCAAAAACUCUAUUUUCUAUGAUGAUAAAAAAUACGAGUGAGGAGGACAAUCUACACUCAGGCAGGAACUCUGCCUGUCUGGGGCUCUCUGGGCUUGUUACUGGGUCACUGCACAACAGACAGGAAAUGGAUAGAGUAGAUGCUUUCAGCUCUGACUCAUUGUGGUGUCCACCUUUCUUUAAUGUAGCUGUGAAAAUGAUUUGCACAUACUUUACUGUUAGGAUAUCUGUGAGGGAAAUUCAGAAUCUGUGUGCCAAACACAUAGAGAUGCUAAAUGGAGUGGAAAGCAUUGCCAAUGCCUUGGUACAGCUUCUGAGAGAGAGAGAGAAAGUGAUGAUGUGGCUUACGUACAAUAACAGAUGCCCCUAUGAAAAUAUUGUAAGCAAUUUCUCAUUUAGCCAUCUGUGCCCCAACUUGCUUAGGAGGAAACUGGCAUUUACAAAAGGAUUUACUCCAUUUACUAAGGACUGGCCUCAAGGUGCUUGCAUUUAUGCUGCCAUAUAUGCCUCAGGAUUCUAGUUGUUUAUUCACUCAGCUGCCAUGGUCAAAUCACUUCGUUUGAGAUAGGUUGCUUCAAUAAGAUCAGAUAGAGGUUCUAUGUUUCCCCAACUCUCUCCAUCAAUGUAAUAAGACGCUCUUGUUAAUUGCAUGUAGCCUCAGCUUACAUACCAACUCCAAAUGAUGCAGAGUAGCAGCCUGGACCACAGUGUUGAGAAAGAUUGUGAGACUAAGUCUUGACUCAGCAGAAAAGAGCUCCAUACAAGAAAGCAGACUCUGGGACGGAAAUUCAUGCUCAGGGCAUUUAAUGAGGAAUUCAUAGGAUCAGCAUCGUGGAGGAGUGAUAGAAGCAGGAUUUGGCAAAGGGAGAAUGUGAACUGUGGAGGACGCAGCUCUGUUGCUGAGAAGGCCCUGCAUAGUUGGCAUGCACAGCGGCAAGGAGGAUGGACCUUUGUAAGGGGACGCACACUGAGGAAUUAUAUGUUGACUCUCCCCCCCGACUCCCCCACAUCUCAGAAAAGGGCAAUUUCCAGAGACGGACUCAGUCACCGACCAUCUGCAGAAACCAGCGCUUCUGCUCCAGAGGAGUCGGGGAGCUGGACAACACACCAUAACACCCACUGCAGUGUGUGACAUUUUCUUUUUUGAAAUCUAAAUUCUACUGUAUUUCAACACCAUUCUUGUGUUUAUAAAUUGUAUGAGUCACUGUGUGGGUGAACAAUUUUAAAUCGAAGAAUUACUAGAGGAUUCGUGGAUAUUCUCUGUGCAUUUCAGGCAGAAAUGCAGAAAAGUAGCAUUGGGUGGUUUGAAAACCAGGCUGCCUCGAUUCAACUCCCAAGUCUGCAUCUUUUAAACUCUCUUUCCUUUCUCCCGUCCCUCCCAAGAAGUCUAGGAGGCCCAGCCGACACAUUUACAAAUCUCCUCUGUGGGAAGUCCCUUACUCUCAGUGCUUGAGGUGAACAUUAGCAGGAUUACAUCCAUAGCUUGGCAUGGUUAUUGAAGGGUUUUUGAGUAACAAAGCAUUCCAAGUGAUGAAUAGCAAUAUACAAUUUAAUUAUGUAGUUUGCCAAUUCUAGUUCUAUCUAUUGUGCAGCACCUUAAUAAAUGAGUCCUUUCAAAGAAGGUUACAGUAUGUGUCCAGCAUUACUCUAUGUUGAAAAGAAAAUUUUCUUACCUGUGACCUUCACUAAUUUGUAGUUAUACAAACAAUAAAAAUGUUAUCUUAGACUUUCACUACUGAAAAGCCUUCAAUGGCUCUCUUUAGGCUGCAAAAAAUGUCCAAACUCUGAUGCAGAGCUAAUUGGCAUAGAUCUUAGAUCCAUGCAAGGAGCACCUGCCCAUGUCAGUGAGCUUUAGAGGACACCGUAUGGCCUCCUCUGGCUGUACCUUGUCCCCAGGAAGACAGUCUUUGUGACCAAGGUGCUAUGCCCACUUACAGUCCUUGUUUCUGCAUUCCCCACCUUUCAGAUCUUGCUUUAGAAUGUCUUGCCCAAUGGUGACCUGUUUCCAGGGCCUAGGCAUGCCUGACCUGGACCAGCUCUUGACAGCAGCCAGCACCACAGGUGUGUGCACCUGGACACACCUUUACUGUAUUUAGGCUUUUUUUAAACUUAAAUUACAACUUCUAAAAUUUUUAAUGUAUGAUCUGUAAAUCUUCAUUUGUACUUUCCUCAUGCUUCACAAAUACGGAAGGCAGACCUGCUUCAUAAACAAACCCCUAGUUUUCAGCCCCAUCUUUUUUCAACUCUCUCUCUUCAAUUGCAAUGUGCACCUGAAACACACUCAACUUACUUCACUGCUGACGUCUUAAACAAAUCAUUCUGUUUCUUAUCUUUCUAUGUUUGCAUUUGUCUCUGUGAGUGAUUUUUCUCUCUGUAGACUGACUGGUCACGCCCCAGACUCUAUUCUGCCUGUCCACUAGGCCAAUUUUCAUCAAAAAAGCAGUUUAAGGGGGCUGGCCCCGUGGCCGAGUGGUUAAGUUCACACGCUCCGCUGCAGGUGGCCCAGUGUUUCGUCGGUUCGAAUCCUGGGCGCAGACAUGGCACUGCUCAUCAAACCACGCUGAGGCGGCAUCCCACAUGCCACAACUAGAAGAACCCACAACGAAGAAUAUACAACUAUGUACCAGGGGGCUUUGGGGAGAAAAAGGAAAAAAAUAAAAUCUUUAAGAAAAAAAAAAGCAGUUUAAAUAUUGCUCCUUGGUGAAUCUUUCUCUUGUGUCACUGUCCCCGGCUCUCCCUCACCUGGGGCACUUACAUACUCCUUUUUCUUUAUUCUCGAUUAAAAAUAUUAGCAGCAAUGAAACUGUAUUCUAAUUGUUCGUUGAGACAGGUACUGUUUCUUAAACAUCUUUCUAAC